rnacentral:rRNA from 1 species
CCUACGGGGGGCUGCAGUGAGGAAUAUUGGUCAAUGGACGGAAGUCUGAACCAGCCAUGCCGCGUGCAGGAAGACGGCUCUAUGAGUUGUAAACUGCUUUUGUACAAGGGUAAACCUGAAUACGUGUAUUCAGCUGAAAGUACUGUACGAAUAAGGAUCGGCUAACUCCGUGCCAGCAGCCGCGGUAAUACGGAGGAUCCAAGCGUUAUCCGGAUUUAUUGGGUUUAAGGGGUGCGUAGGCGGAUUGAUAAGUUAGAGGUGAAAUGUCCGAGCUUAACUCGGGAACUGCCUCUAAUACUGUUGAUCUAGAGAGUAGAUGCGGUAGGCGGAAUGUAUGGUGUAGCGGUGAAAUGCUUAGAGAUCAUACAGAACACCGAUUGCGAAGGCAGCUUACCAAUCUAUAUCUGACGUUGAGGCACGAAAGCGUGGGGAGCGAACAGGAUUAGAUACCCCGGUAGUC